rnacentral:pre_miRNA from 1 species
CUUAUACUCCCUCCGUCCGGAAAAACUUGUCCUUCAAAUGGAUGUAUCUAGCACCAAGUUAGUGCUAAAUACAUCCAUUUGAGGAACAAGUUUGGGACAAGUUUUUUCGGAUGGAAGGAGUACAAA